rnacentral:rRNA from 1 species
GAUUCGGCCACACCACCCUGAGCACGCCCAAUCUCAUCUGAUUUCGGAAGCUAAGCUGAGUCGGGCCUAGUUAGUACGUGGAUGGGAGACUGCCUGGGAAUACCAGGUGUUGUAAACU